AAAUUAUCCUUAGGUACUUAAAACACAAUUCCUAGUGGAAUUCAGCAUGUUACCAUGAAUCACUCAAGGAUAUUCAAGUUAUGCUCCCUCUGUCCAAGUUAUUUCUAUUAAUGAAUUCAUUUCAGACUUUUUUUUUUUUUAAAAGUAGUUGUGCUCCCCCUAUUUCAUAUGCAUUGAUAAGUUGUGUCAAAUUUGAACACUUAAGGUAUGUUAUGAGAUUUUUAUGGCACAUCACAGAAUCACAUACACAAAGUAUGAUUCCACAGAAUUUGAAACAUACACAAGGUUUCAAAAGAAAUUGUAUGACAAGUAUUGUCAUAUAUCAUUGCAAUCAUUUGAAGUCAUUACAAAGUUAAAAAAAAGAAAAUCAUUACAAGUAUUGAUUUCUUAUACAAAAGAAGUUUCAAGAUGAGCCUAGGGUUUACAAAAAGAAGAACCCUUGAUGUUUACAAAAUGUCCCUCAUCGGCGACGUUGCUCAAUAGCCCUAGCCGCUGCCUCUAUAAAUGC
rnacentral:lncRNA from 1 species